rnacentral:rRNA from 1 species
AUUGAACGCUGGCGGCAGGCCUAACACAUGCAAGUCGAGCGGAUGAAGGGAGCUUGCUCCUGGAUUCAGCGGCGGACGGGUGAGUAAUGCCUAGGAAUCUGCCUGGUAGUGGGGGAUAACGUCCGGAAACGGGCGCUAAUACCGCAUACGUCCUGAGGGAGAAAGUGGGGGAUCUUCGGACCUCACGCUAUCAGAUGGGCCUAGGUCGGAUUAGCUAGUUGGUGGGGUAAAGGCCUACCAAGGCGACGAUCCGUAACUGGUCUGAGAGGAUGAUCAGUCACACUGGAACUGAGACACGGUCCAGACUCCUACGGGAGGCAGCAGUGGGGAAUAUUGGACAAUGGGCGAAAGCCUGAUCCAGCCGUGCCGCGUGUGUGAAGAAGGUCUUCGGAUUGUAAAGCACUUUAAGUUGGGAGGAAGGGCAGUAAGUUAAUACCUUGCUGUUUUGACGUUACCAACAGAAUAAGCACCGGCUAACUUCGUG